GGGACGGGUGAGUAAUGUCUGGGAAACUGCCCGAUGGAGGGGGAUAACUACUGGAAACGGUAGCUAAUACCGCAUAACGUCGCAAGACCAAAGAGGGGGACCUUCGGGCCUCUUGCCAUCGGAUGUGCCCAGAUGGGAUUAGCUAGUAGGUGGGGUAAUGGCUCACCUAGGCGACGAUCCCUAGCUGGUCUGAGAGGAUGACCAGCCACACUGGAACUGAGACACGGUCCAG
rnacentral:rRNA from 1 species